rnacentral:tRNA from 2 species
GCAGGUGUACCCGAGUGGUCAAAGGGGGAGGACUCAAGAUCCUCUGUGUAGUGCUUCGCAGGUUCGAAUCCUGCCACCUGCACCA